UCACCUAUCGUGAGCACAGUUGUGCAAAAUUUUGUGAAAAUUAUGUAAUCUAAAUUUCUUCAAUAAUUUAGAUGAAAUUCUAUGUGUAUUUACAUUAAUGAUAAUUUACCCUAUCGGUAUGUUGUUAUUAGUGUAACUUGUGGUUUAUGUAAUGUAUUAUUUAUUGUAAACUUAUGUCAAUCAAUUCAAAUGUCCUAUUGGUAUUAGAAUAUCUCUGUGACAAACUAUUAUAUACAUUACAUUAAUUGGGCAAUAUAUAUAUAUUUUAAUAUAAUCCAAUUAUUCUUAAAAAUUUGCAUUGCCUAUCGCUAUGCAAAUUUAUACUAAAUAAAAUUGUUCAUUGGAAUAAAUUAUAAAUUAUUUUUAUGUAAGUAAUGGACAUGCCCUAUCGGCAUGACAUUGCUUGACAAUAGUUUUGGAUAUUAAUUUUAAAUACUUAAAAUAUCUUUUAUAUAUUUUUUAAUUUAACUGUUUUCUCUAUCAAGUGGGAGAAACUGAUUUAUCAUAAUAUUAUUUUCUCAAGAAAAUAAAAUAUGCAAUGUCUCUCACUUAAUUAGUUGUACAGUUAAUUGAAUAUGAGAAGCCACUACACUUAUGUUUAAUAUAAUGCUAUAUAUCAAUUUAUCAUCGGACCUAUAUUGAGGAUAUCAUUAAGUCUCUUUGAGAAUAUUGUAAUAUAAUAAACUUCAUAUGAUUGUCUUAUACAAUUGAUAAUCAAUUAUUCUUGUUAAGAGAAUAUGACAAACUCUCAAUUUUAUACCAUUAUUCUUUGUCCUUUUUUUAUGGUAUGUUAUCUUUAAUACUCUGGGAUAUACAUAUAAAUUCUAAAUUAGGAGUUAGAGACUGUUUUUUAUCCUCAAUAGUGAUUAAUUAUAGGUCUCAUAUGCUUCCGCUGUUAUUAUUGACAAUCCAUCAACUUUCUAUGUUCAAGUGGGUAUACUUGUUUUCAUAUUAUAGCACUUGAAAUUUUGAGUGAUAUUUGCAAGCGAUCCCAUAUUCUGUUUAAAAUAUUAUGGAUCUUAUUUUCACUCCUUUGUGUAUAAACUAUGGGUUGCUUCAUUCAUAAAAUAUUUUAAUGAUUUUAAGUGUGAAUAAAUAAGGAGAUUGUUUGGUAAAAUGUGUCAAAUAAGCACUUAAAAUCUCCUAAUUCUAUAUGCAGAGUAUGUAGUUACUUGUGUAAAUAGAAAUCUUAUAAGACUUUGUGGCUGAUAAAUUCCAUAUAUUGGCUCCAUUUUGUGAAUUCUAUUAUGUAACCACUUCUCUUAAAACUCUACACUAUUCUAUUUCUCUCUAAUUUAUUUAUUCUUGAAGAGAGAAAGAUUGUGAGUUUCACACUCACGCAAAUUCUUUUCCACAUAGUCAUGAUCCCACUAUUAAAUAUUAUACCAUUGGAGUAUUUUAUACUAGUUAGCUCUAGUGGGAAAUUCUAAUUUUACCAUGGUAUAUUGGAUUAGUGGGAGUGUGCACACAUUGUUUUGUCUCGAGACAUAUUGAUAUAUUGAUACCAUAUACUCUUGUGUGCACUUCUAUGUUAAUAUGGUAUAUUCUUAGAGCUAUUUUGUUGUCAUAUAUUCUUAUGCGCGCUUAAAUGAUCAUAUGACAUGCUCUUGGAGACUUUGGUACUCAGUCUCAUUCUUUGGGUUAUUCCGUUGGUAACAACACAUUUGGCAUGCAAUUUAAUGUGUUUCUCUUAACCAACAUUUCACAUUCUCUAUGGUAAAACAUAAGUGUCUUAGAUGUAUAGUAUCACUACUCCUAUCGAGUAUGAUUUCUUGCAUUUUUAAGGUACUUAAUCUUAAUUAGACCAUUAAUUAUAAGUGUUUGCUCAUUAUUGACAUUUUAUUCUUUAUUAGUUCAAGACACACUUUGUCUAAAUAAGUUUCCAUUAUCCAUGUUAUUAUUAAACUCUUUUACCAUGGACUUAUGGUCACUUGUUUAGAAAACCUUGAAUUAAUUAUGUCAAAUUCUUUUGAGCAUAUUCUCUUUAGCCCACAUGUAAUCACUCUUUUGGCUAUUAAGAUCACUUAGACUUAUGUGGAAUUUAUACUUGCCCUUGUGAUAUAUUUUCUCUCAAAACAAUAAUUCUAUGCAUUCAAAACACUUGUUUGCUAGAGAGAAAAGAAAUUCUAAAAUUUCGGACUCUAAGUGAGUACAUUAAUCCACUGAUUAAAGACUUUAUUCUUGGAGCCUGUCUAAACCAUAUAAAUUGAUAAGGUCAGUGGGAGUCUGAAAACAUAGCAUUUUAAGAUGCUUGGGCCAUUCUUUGGAAUUGCAUGUUUAUCUAAAUUCUAUAAUGUCUUUCCACAUCCAUCAUUCUUUUAUGAAAUAUGAGUCUCUUAUCCCUAUCGGAUAUUCUUAACACACACGACACAUAUCCCUAUCGGAUACUAUCUUCUCUUGUGUUAAAGCUUAUAUUUUCUUGCUUUUGGUGGAUUUGCGUUUUGUCCAUUAUUGAUAUCCUACUCUUAAUAAUUCUUGCAUUUCUGUUAAUUGACUAAUGCUAUCCAAGUGGGAGAUUGUUGGAUAUUUUAUGGAUUAGCAUUAAUCAUUUAAUUAGAAUGUGUAAUUCUUGAAUUAUUAAUAUAUCAAUUAUUAGAAAUUAAUAUUAAUUAUAACGCUUAACCACUUGAUGGAUAUUACUAUUGGGCUUUUCUGAUGAGUAACCUGUAAUGGGUUGGGUUAUUUAUUUAAGCCCAGUGAGAAGCCCCCUGCUCUCAUCUGAUAGGUUAUAAACUUGUCUCCCCAUUAGAUAGUUAACUUAAUCUACUCUACAGACUUAUCAGAAUAGAGAGCAGUUUUUCUCACAUGCAUCACCUAGGCUCAAAACACAAAAGGACUGUUUCUUCGCUCAUAUCAGGUACGCAAAUUAUAUAUGUAUAGAUUAUUGAACAUGUUAUAAUGCUUGUAUCUACAUCCUAUCUAGGCUACCCUUAUAAAUUUCCUGCAGAGAAGCCAUAUAGGAUUUGUGAGCCGCUUGCCCAUUGACAACACGAACAACAACCUCAGAAUCAGACUCCAUAUCAACCUUCGAAAUCCACGCUCCCUAGCCACUAACAAUCCUUUCUUAAUGCCCAUGGCCUCGGCAAAAUGCAGCCCCAAAUUGGAAUCACUGAACAGGGACGCGGCAAGGCACACCUCCCCCUCAAAAUAUCGAAUUACAAUCCCAUUCUUCCAUUGAUUAUAAUGUGAUAAAAGAAUGAAAUUUAAUUGAAUUUGAAUACAAUUUAACUACAUGUGUAUAUUUUUUUGACACCAACUACAUGUUUAUUUAUUAAAACAUUAUAAACCAAAAUUUUCUUUCAUAACUAUAAUUGAUAUAACCAAUGAUUUAAAACUCGGUCUGAACUAGUCUCUGUCGGUCCGGCUUGAUCAGUACUCAAUCACAUUAUUGGUUCGAGUUUGUCAGCUAAUCAAAUAUGUUAUUAAACUGACGACACUACUAGAAAUUCGCUGUUUAGCGACAGAUUUAGCGACCGAAAUAUUUCAGUCACUAAUAGCGACCGACUUUGCGACGGAAUCCAUGAUAUUUUGGUCAAACUCUGAGUUUGACUUACGAGCGACCGAAUUAGCGACCGAAAUUUUCGUCGCUAAAAAGUAAAAUAAACAUAAUAAAGUAAAGUAGCGACUGAAUUAGCGACAGAUUAUUUAGCGACCGACAUAUCCGUCGCUAGUAGCAACCGAUUUACCAACGGAAAUAUUAGCGACUGAAAUUUCCGUCGCUAAAGAAGUAGAAUAAAACUAACAAUGCAAAGUUGAGACCAAUUUAGUGACCGAAAUGAUAUCGACCGAAAUUUUCGUCGCUAAAACGUAGAAUAGAAAUACCAAUGCAAAGUAGCGACCAAUUUAGCGACCGAAAUUUCCGUCGCUAAGAAGUAGAAUUAAAAUAACAAAGCAAAAUAGCGACCGAUUUAGCGACAGAUAUGUUAGCGACCGCUAUAUCCGUCGCUAUUCUAUGAAAAACACCUCUCGAUUCUCUCUCUCACGAAACCCUACCGCCGCUGUAACGAGCUCGACCUUGUGGAGGAGAUCGUCGUCGCUCCUACCGAUCUCGCACUCACUCCUCUCUUUGAUUUCACACCUCCGUCGAGACGUCUCUGUUCGCGACCACCAUACUCUCUAUGGCAUCGUCCUUCGUCUUGUCGUUCUCCGUGGCGUCGUCUUCAUCGUACCACUGCUCUACAUCACGCCGUUCUUUAUCAUGCCGUUACCAUUCUCCGUCGUUGUAUCUUGUAUGCAUUUUUUGCUCUCUCUCUAUCUCUCGCUCUCUGACAGGUUCUCUUUAUUUCUUUGUUAGGGUUUCAAGUGAGCAAUGUCGAAGAUGCUCCGAGUGAGGGCAAGUUUGGCACGUCCUCUUCAAUCUGGGUCUUUACUACUUUAUUUGUCUGAUCAUAUUCUUUUUUUGAGAGUUUUCAUGUAAAAAGAGAAGAAGAAAAAAGCAUGACGUGGAUUCAUGCAUAGACUAUUGACCUCUACAAGUUUUCUGGAGGAGUAUGCUUCUGAUUCGAGGCCCCAGAGUAAGAGAGCUACCCAACUAAGAUAAGUUGGGAUAUGCAGUUAUGAGAAGUUUGUAUUAGCUUUAACUUAUGGUAGUAUUGCAACUGAUAUAAGUACUUAAUUUAGCUCGGCAUUUGUCUCUUGAAACUUUUGUUUCGGUGCAUGGGAUAUCUCGAGUUUCCAUUAGUCUCACUACCCUUCUUUAGUUUGGCUUUACUCCUACAUUUCCACUAUUGAUAGCACAUUGAGAAUUUGGAAAGCUCCUUAAUUUAGCAAUGUAUUGUCUAACUGACAUGUUUCCUUAUUGUAAUAGAAGAAACCCCAAUUCUUAUGUGUAUUUUAGUACUCCGGGAAGUAUUUGCCCAAAGAUUGCGUUAUAAACACUUCCCUAGGUGACUGAUUGCUACUAGCUAGUCUCUAAUAUCUCCAAGUGCAAGUAGUACAGGUUCACUUUUGAGUUUUUAUUUGUCUAUCCCAUAGUUUUAGAUAUUUUCUCAAUCUCCUUUAACCACAAUUCUGUUGCUUUAGGAUCAGAUGGUUUAUGCACUCUUCUGAUAACUUGAGUGGUGGCAGUAGCCAUGUCCCUUGCAAUAAUUAAUGAAGCAUAUAUACUUGUUUUUAUAUUCAGGUUCAAGGAAUGGGACAUUGGGCUGGGAUUUGAGGGUUCAUAUAGCUCUUUAGGUGUAGCAAGAGACAUUGAGUAUCUUCAUGAUGGGGAAGUUCCUCCUGUAAUCCAUCGAGAUAUCAAAUCUUCCAAUAUUCUUUUGGAUCAGUCCAUACGAGCUGGUAAGCUCUCUCCCUCUACUAGCCUUACUAAAGAUAUUGGAUUUGAUAAUAUUUUAUUUGGGUGAUAUUCCAUAUGGAGUGGUAUCUCAUUAAUUACAUGGGACAAGCAAGAUCUGUUGGAAAGGAAGAUAUCAGAGCAAUUACAAGGGACGCUCUUCGGUAAUUGAUUGAAACUUCAAUGAUUAGUUUCAGUGUGCUCAUACUUGAAAUUAUACUGGAAAUAACUUUUUUUAGCAGUAUAUAAAAUUUGUUCUUCUGCCAUGUAUCAGUCGCUGAAGCUUCUAUUGGAUUUGUUGUUUCAGUAUCUUCACAAUAUACAAGUAGAGAAACUUCUGUCAUUUCUGUAGUAGUGUUUCUAAUUUCUAGCACUACAAAAAAAAUGGCAUUUUGCGGCGGUUGUCAGGACGUUUCGCGGCGGUUUAAACCGCCGCAGAAAGCUUCUCACGGCGGUUUGCAAACCGUCGCAGUUACUAGCGUCGCAAGGCGUUCUGCGGCGGUUAGAGGCAACCGCUGGAAUAGCCGCCGCAAAAUGCAUCUAGCGAAUUGCGGCGGUUCAAACCGCCGCAAGAUACUUUUUCUUGAUGGAAUUCCUGAUGCGAUAGACGGCGGUUACAACCGCCGCAGUGGUGUCCAUAUUUGCGGCGGUUUAAAACGGCCGCAAGUAGUGAAUUUAAUUAAAAAAAAUAUUUUUCUUAAAUUUUUACACCUCCAGUUCUUUUGAUCACCUCCAGUAACUAAAUUAAUUUACAUGUUACAUCUCAAGCAUCUUAGAACUAGAGUAUGUAGUAAAACAUCUAAGGAAGCACCAAAAUUAGUUUGAAGGAAAGCAAGUUUUGUCAUAUCUACCUGAUAAUUAAAAACAUAUAAGCAGAGAUAUAAAGAGAGUUUAUAACAAUCAGUGAAGAGUGCAAAGUUUCGAAGCAGCAUUACCACUCAUAUCCAGGAUUUGUAGCUCAGGCAGUGCUUCAAAACAGCCUGAAACAUAAUGACUUUUGUUCACUUCAUAUUUUUUUACAAGAAAUGAAGAUGAAACAUGAAGUGCACAAAACAACAGGUCAAGUGACACGAAAGCUCAUUAGCCAUUAUGAUUUCAUUUUAAAACCUAAACAGAAAGAGAUCAACAAUGAUACCUUGAAAAGACGGCCAAGAAAUCCAGCAUCAAUGACUUCAACAGAGUGCAUAUGUCUGAUGUGGAACAAAUCCUAUUAAAAAAGUUAAGGCAAAUUAGAUUAUCAAGCAUGCCCAAUUGAUUAGGGAACAUUUUAAACAUGUUCAUCUUCUUACAUAUGUUCUUUAAACAAAACAAUCAACAAGGAAAUGCAAGGAGGCUCUACAAAGUUUAAGGAAAGCAAUAGUUAGACCUUUCCUCCAUAUCUGGCCACACCUUAAUCAACAAUGAAAAGCUAAUUUUAUAAGCUAUAACAUACCUUACUUGCUAGAGCUAGUUUUCUCCAAUUUUCUCCAAUUUAAGACAUUUCUUAUUAAGAAUGAGACUGAUGCUCCAAUAACAAUCAGGGGAUUUGGUGGCUAAAAUUCCAUGUCUCCAAGAGCUGAUAUUUUAAGAAAUGAGAGGAAUUCAGAUUCAUGAAAAUGCACAACAAACUUAUUUCGAUUUCUAACUGUGCAGGUAUCUACAUUGUAUGACAUCCCCCUCUUUAAGGAAUGAAAUGCAAAUUGUCUUAGUCAACCACCAAUCUAAAAAUUUAUCUCAAAAUAACCAGAAUCGGGCACCAAAAUUAGGGAAGGGGAAUAAUUGAUUGUACAAAAUGAACUCACUUACAUUUUGAUGAGUAGACUUACAAAGUACCUCAUUAAUGGUAGCCUCAACCACUUCUUGAAUGAAAGUUCUCCCUUGUCUUGAUGUUCCAAUCCAACUGCUGCCAUAUUGUAAUCUGUGCGCGUGAGGGAAAGAGAGAGAGAUCAUACAAUAAUAGCGCCUCAAGUUCCUUAUCCAGUUCAUGUACAAUUGCUUGUUAUCAAGCUUUAGAAAUUUGCACAAAACAUGCAGCAAAUUAAUUUAAA